CGCGUAGGUGGUAGUGCAAGUCUGGGGUGGAAUCCCAGGGCUUAACCCUGGAACUGCCUUGGAAACUGUAUUACUUGAGUCAGUGAGGGGAGGGUAGAAUUCCUGGUGUAGCGGUGAAAUGCGUAGAUAUCAGGAGGAAGGCCUGUGGCGAAGGCGGCCCUCUGGCGCUGAACUGACACUGAGGCGCGAAAGCGUGGGGAGCAAACAGGAUUAGAUACCCUGGUAGUCCACGCCAUAAACGGUGGGUACUAGGUGUAGGGCUCGUAAGGGUUCUGUGCCGAAGCGAAAGCAUUAAGUACCCCGCCUGGGGAGUACGGCCGCAAGGUUGAA
rnacentral:rRNA from 1 species